GGAUGUUAGCGGCGGACGGGUGAGUAACACGUGGGUAACCUGCCUGUAAGACUGGGAUAACUCCGGGAAACCGGAGCUAAUACCGGAUAGUUCCUUGAACCGCAUGGUUCAAGGAUGAAAGACGGUUUCGGCUGUCACUUACAGAUGGACCCGCGGCGCAUUAGCUAGUUGGUGAGGUAACGGCUCACCAAGGCGACGAUGCGUAGCCGACCUGAGAGGGUGAUCGGCCACACUGGGACUGAGACACGGCCCAGACUCCUACGGGAGGCAGCAGUGGUCAUAGC
rnacentral:rRNA from 1 species